GGGAUAAAACUUUCGACGGUUAUAAAUGAAAAAUCAUGAUUUAACGGUUAUUUUAACUCCGAUUUUGAUGAUUUUUUACAGCUACACUCCUUGACCCUAUAUGAAUACAAUGACUGAAUUUGAUCUUCAAUUUAAAAUAUUUACACUAGUGGAUACCACAAAAUCUUAUGUUAUAUUUAACGAAAGUAUAAAUAAACUCUUAAUUGUUAGUGAAUAUAUUAUUUUG
rnacentral:lncRNA from 1 species